CAGCCGCCGCGGUAAUACGUAGGUGGCAAGCGUUGUCCGGAAUUAUUGGGCGUAAAGGGCUCGCAGGCGGUUUCUUAAGUCUGAUGUGAAAGCCCCCGGCUCAACCGGGGAGGGUCAUUGGAAACUGGGAAACUUGAGUGCAGAAGAGGAGAGUGGAAUUCCACGUGUAGCGGUGAAAUGCGUAGAGAUGUGGAGGAACACCAGUGGCGAAGGCGACUCUCUGGUCUGUAACUGACGCUGAGGAGCGAAAGCGUGGGGAGCGAACAGGAUUAGAUACCCGAGUAGUCCCUGUCUCUUAUAA
rnacentral:rRNA from 1 species